UCAGGCUGGAGUGCAGUGGUGCAAUCUUGGUUCAUUGCAGCCUCUCCAACUCCCAGGCUCAGAUGAUCCUCCUGCCUCAGCCUCCCAAGUAGCUGGGACUACAGGUACAUGCCACCAUACCCCAGCUAAUUUUUUCUCUGGGUAGCUGUGAUGGUUAAUACUGAGUGUCAACUUGAUUGGAUUGAAGGAUGCAAAGUAUUGAUCCUGGGUGUGUCUGUGAGGGUGUUGCCAAAAAAGAUUAACAUUUGAGUCAGUGGGCUGGGAAAGGCAGACCCACCCUUAAUCUGGGUGGGCACCUUUAAUCAGCUGCCAGCAUGGCUAGAAUAUAAAGCAGGCAGAAAAACAUGAGAAGACUAGACUGGCCUAGCCUCCCAGCCUACAUCUUUCUUCUGUGCUGGAUGCUUCCUGCCCUCGAACAUCAGACUCCAGGUUCUUCAGUUUUGGGACUUGGACUGGCUUUCCUUGCUCCUCAGCUUGCAGAUGGCCUACUGUGGGACAUUGUGAUUAUGGCCCAGUGUCUCAGCAAAGACUUAGAACAUGGUGCUACUUUCUUCCUCUCCCAAGAAGUCAUGUGAGUCACUGUGUUAACUUUAAAAAAAAAUCGUAAUUUCAAAUUUACAGAAGAGUUGCAAGAAUAGUUAAAAGAAUUCCCUAUAUCCUUUACUCAGAUUCACUAAUUGUUAACAUUUUACCACAUUUACUUUCUCUCUCACCUCUUUUUUUUCUGAACCAUUUUCUGAACCCUUUGAAGGUCCCUCAGCUUAUAUUUCCUAAGAACAAGAAUAUUAUCUUACAUAACCACAGUGCAAUGAUUAAAUUCAGGAAUUUUAACAUCAAUGCUGUGAUAUUGUUAUCUAACAUAAAGUCCAUAUUUAAAUGUUGCCAGUUGCUCCAUUGUCCUUUACAGCCCUUUUCUUCCUCCUCAUCUGGGAUCCAAUCCAGGAUCAUGCAUCACAUUGAGCUGUCAUGUCUCUUUAACCAGGAACAAUUCCUCAGCUGCUCUUUUUCUUUCAAGACAGUCACAUUUUUGAAGAAUAUGAACCAACUGGUUUGUAGAAUUUCUAUCAUUUUGGGUUUGCCUGUUGUUUUUUUCAUGAUUAGAGUCAGAUAAUUCGGGGUAGGAAAACCGAUAAAGGAUGUUGUGUCCUUCCUGGUGCCUCACAUCAGGACGCACGUGAUGCCGAUUUGUCCCAUUCAUUGAUAACUUGGAUCACUUGUCUAGAUGGUUGCCACCAGAUUUCUGCAUUGUAAGGCUAUCAUUUUUCCCACUGUAAUUAGUAAGUAACCUGGGGGAGGAUAGUUGGAGGCUCAGGCUCAAGUCUCCUGUUCUUCCUCAAACUUCCACCAAGUAGUUUUGGCACUUAUUGAUGAUUCCUGCCUGAAUUGAUUUUUUCUAUGAUGUCAGCAAAAACGGUGAAUUUAUGACACUAUCAUUUCUUUUUUUUUUUUUUUUUUGAGACGGAGUUUCACUUUGUCACCCAGGCUGGAGUGCAAUGGCGUGAUCUCGGCUCACUGCAACCUCCGCCCCUCAGGUUCAAGCAAUUAUCCUGCCUCAGCCUCCUAGGUAGCUGGGACUACAGGUGUGUGCCACCACGCCCUGCUAAUUUUUGUAGUUUUAUUAGAGAUGGGGUUUCACCAUGUUGGCCAGGCUGAUCUUGAACCCCUGACCUCAGGUGAUCCGCCUGCAUUGGCUUCCCAAAGUGCUGGGAUUAUAGGCAUGAACUACUGCGCCUGGCCCCUAUCAUUUCUUCUAAUGUGACUUACCAUUUUCUUAUGUUCUAACCUGUAUGUAUAAACCAACAAAAAUGCAAUUUCAAAAUUUAUAUGCUAACAAUAAUAAAAAUAACAGUAGCUUCUAUAUGUUGGCCCAUGGGCUUGUCCUGCCUGACUAGACACAACAUUAUAGAGGUGCAAUGUUGCAAGGAACAUUUUCAAAGACUUUGAGAAUGUGGCUGAUGCAAGCUUGUGCUGUCAUUUCAGUCUUUAAGAGUCGGCUUAGGGCUUGUUUGCAACUGACAUCCUCGUGUGUUAUGGCUGUGAUUUUAAAAGAGAAUAGAGAUACAUGUAUGUAAACCACAUUCAUGUUCAGUUCAUACUAGAUCUUUAACAUUAAUUUUGAUUGACCAAAAAUAUUAUUCAGUUCUCGUAAUCUGGCAGAGAAAUGUCUGUCAUUAGUUCUGUGGGGCUACAACAAAGGCUUGAGGUGUCGAGGAAUCAGGCAGAGGCAAAUCCUUUUCAGGUUCCUGCUAGAUAACAGAUGUUUGCAUUAUAAAGGAAAACUAAACACAACUGGAAUAAUUGGGCGCGGCAUUCAGAACUGUCACUUCUGCAAGUGCACCAUAGGAAGAAGGCCUCUGCUCUUCCUCUGAGAAUCAAGAGGUGGUCUCAAAAUUGCGAGCUUGGCCAAGCGUGGUGGCUCACACUUGUAAUCCCAGCACUUUGGGAGGCUGAGGCAGACAGAUCACCUGAGGUCAGGAGUUUGAGACCAGCCUGAGCAACAUGGAGAAACCCUG
rnacentral:lncRNA from 1 species